CAAAAGAAGAAACUGAAGGAUAGAUCUCUAGAACCCUGAAGUUCCUGUGUUCUCAUUAACAAUUCUAUGACCUACUUUAGUUUUGAAUGUAAUUCCACAGCAGAUGGCUGGAACGUGGUCUGGGGGAUUAAGCGAGCCUUUUCAGAUUAAUGCCAAGAAAAUAUAUGCAGAAGAGACACCCAUGUCAUUGAACAAGAGGUUCU
rnacentral:lncRNA from 1 species